GGCGGGGGCACGGGGGSCCUACGGGGYGCACCAGUCGCGAAAACUUCGCAAUAAGCGAAAGCUUGACGGGGCCAUCCCGAGUGCCAUCUGCUGAGGAUGGCUUUUACCCAGUAUAGAUAGCUGGGGGAAUAAGGAGAGGGCAAGUCUGGU
rnacentral:rRNA from 1 species